AUAGACUGGAUGUUUCUUAACUCUGAAGAAACCGGUGGUUUUGCACUGUUAUCCAUGGGGUUUGUUGCAAUGGAAGCCAGAGGAGCACAUCUCAAGAACCUCAAGUACCCCUGCAUUUGGGUUUUGUAGCAAUCCCGGCAGCAUCUCGGGUCAGUGGCUCUGUAGGAGGAAGCACUGGCUGGUGAGGCACCUGUGAACGCCCUUCUCUUGUUCGUGUGCCCUGUUUGGCAACACACAAAUGGCCAUGACCCUCGAGGGCAGCAGUGUGUGAGCUUGAGUGAAAAGCAGUCUGCGUGCCAGGUUUAGCUUUAGGUGUGCAGUUCGGGGAGCAGCUGUCCCUGUGCCUCAAGGUUUCCUUCUCGUGGGAUUUUUACUGACUCUCGAGGCAGUGGUGGCUCUAAUGAAGUUUUUCCUGUUCAGGGACAUCGCUGUGUCAGGUUACCAUGCACUGAAGUUCAGAAGGAUGCAGCUUCCUGGAUGCCUGCUGUAGAAUCUUCCUGUGCCAAUUUGUGUCUCAUCAGCACCUGUGCCACAAGGAAGAACAUUCAAACUUCCAGCAGAAACAGCCUUUUGCUGCUUUAGCUUUAGCAAGGCUGGUCACAGCAGGUUCAGAGGAGCACCAAGGAAGAGCCUGAGGAGGGAGGGAGUGGGGCGAGAUCCUUCAGCAGCAAGCAGCCAUCACCUUGGCUUUGCCAUCAGCAGAUGCUUUGGCACAAGUUGUAGAAGGAACAUGAAGCCUGCCAUAGAGGCAGAAGGUCAGUAGAUUGGGAGUUCAGAGAUCACUUUCAAACAACCCAGAAUUAAUUUCUACAUCUGGCUACAGGUAAGAAGAACUUGGGGAUUUUUUUUCCCCAGUUGUAGAAGGAACAUGAAGCCUGCCAGUUUUUCCCCCCAGUUGUAGAAGGAACAUGAAGCCUGCCAUAGAGGCAGAAGGUCAGUAGAUUGGGAGUUCAGAGAUCACUUUCAAACAACCCAGAAUUAAUUUCUACAUCUGGCUACAGGUAAGAAGAACUUGGGGAUGCUGGGCCCUGCUGUUGGUGAACAGAG
rnacentral:lncRNA from 1 species